UGACGUCGGUACCUUCUCCUGUGAGCAGUGUUUCAUGAGGAUUUUACGAUGUCGCAGAGAAAUUUGGGUCUUUUUCACCCAGGAAGCUUCAGGCUUCAGCUGACAAUCCAAAGCUUCCUGGUUUUGCAAGACCCAACAAAU